GAUGAACGCUGGCGGCGUGCCUAAUACAUGCAAGUCGAGCGAACAGACGAGGAGCUUGCUCCUCUGACGUUAGCGGCGGACGGGUGAGUAACACGUGUAUAACCUACCUAUAAGACUGGGAUAACUUCGGGAAACCGGAGCUAAUACCGGAUAAUAUAUUGAACCGCAUGGUUCAAUAGUGAAAGACGGUUUUGCUGUCACUUAUAGAUGGAUCCGCGCCGCAUUAGCUAGUUGGUAAGGUAACGGCUUACCAAGGCGACGAUGCGUAGCCGACCUGAGAGGGUGAUCGGCCACACUGGAACUGAGACACGGUCCAGACUCCUACGGGAGGCAGCAGUAGGGAAUCUUCCGCAAUGGGCGAAAGCCUGACGGAGCAACGCCGCGUGAGUGAUGAAGGUCUUCGGAUCGUAAAACUCUGUUAUUAGGGAAGAACAAAUGUGUAAGUAACUAUGCACGUAUUGACGGUACCUAAUCAGAAAGCCACGGCUAACUACGUG
rnacentral:rRNA from 1 species